CAAACUGGAGAUGGCGACCGGCGCACGGGUGAGUAACACGUAUCCAACCUGCCGAUAACUCGGGGAUAGCCUUUCGAAAGAAAGAUUAAUACCCGAUGGUAUAAUCAGACCGCAUGGUUUGAUUAUUAAAGAAUUUCGGUUAUCGAUGGGGAUGCGUUCCAUUAGUUUGUUGGGGGGUAACGGCCCACCAAGACUACGAUGGAUAGGGGUUCUGAGAGGAAGGUCCCCCACAUUGGAACUGAGACACGGUCCAA
rnacentral:rRNA from 1 species